UACGAAGGGUGCAAGCGUUACUCGGAAUUACUGGGCGUAAAGCGUGCGCAGGCGGUCCGCAAAGUCUGAUGUGAAAGCCCCGGGCUCAACCCGGGAACUGCAUUGGAAACUAACGGGCUCGAGUGUGGCAGAGGGGGGUGGAAUUCCACGUGUAGCAGUGAAAUGCGUAGAGAUGUGGAGGAACACCGAUGGCGAAGGCAGCCCCCUGGGCUAACACUGACGCUCAGGCACGAAAGCGUGGGGAGCAAACAGG
rnacentral:rRNA from 1 species